GUGGUCAGCAAGUUUGUGCUAAAGAUUAGAAAUGAGGACAAAGGGUAAGUGCCUUGUCUACAUUUCCUCAGGAAGCUGAAGACAAAGGCUAGAGUAAGAUUCCAGAUCUUCGGUUCCCAUGCUGUAACCACAAAAUUAUCAUGGGACUUGCUUAAAAAAAAUGCAUUUCUGUAGUAAAUCCAAGAAUGUUAUCCACAUUUCUUAAUCCCUAAAAAUGAAAACAUACUGUGCUAUAUAAAAAGGAAACAGAAGUGAGGUGACGUUACUCCCACCCUAUUAAUAUAUUCUGGUGUUUGGUUUGUUCUCCUGGGUUACUUCAAUUUCCCACCGAGCUUUCACGACCAAUGCCUUGACUGUUGAUUCAAAACUCGUGUUGACUGAAGGUAGGUAAACAUGUGUGGGGCAAAGUAGAGCUUCACAUUGCAGUUUUUGUUAAGAGUGCAGUCAUUGCUAUCUGGCUGCUCUGUGAUUUGUGCUUUUGCUGUGCAAAGGCAUGCUGGAGCACGGUGCUUCCUACCAGCUCUGUGUUUUUCUGACUGACUCUUGUGGCUGCAUACAUUUGUCUUUCCAAGCGAUGAAGCAGGCGAGCAGUUUGUGUUCCUCGUAGUUCGCCAAUACAGGUGAUGUUGGUCGGAUCAGGGCUGCAGAACAGGAAUCACACAGAGGCUUGGAGCAAGGUUCUCGUGCUGGUAUUGAGUUGGAGCCCGUUUCAGAGGGAAAUCUUUGCCCUCUGGAAGACUAAAGCUUAUUGUUCGCCCCUGAAUACAUGAAAAAAAUGUAGCUGGAACUGUCCUAAAAUAAACAACAUGCAAACAGUGUAUUGAUCUCCUGGGCUUCUCUCUGCUUGUUGGGCCAUAUGCAGAGGUGUGCUACAUCUGCCCUGGUGUUUGUCACUGGGACAUGACCUCUGUUAUGGAUGUGGCUAUGGAUGCUCCUUGCAUGCCUCUGCUUGUGUACAAGGGCUGAAACUCCAUGCCAGAUAACCAGAGUAUUGCUUAGCUACUGCUAACUCAAAAAUAUACUGCUAUACCUCACCCGGAGCACCGGCACUGAACCAUCAGUUCUCUCCCUGGAGGGAUUUGAUGUCUGCAAAGCCCAACGCCAAGGGUGCACUCAAUCCCACCAUUGGUGUCAUUGAUGAAGAUGUUAAAGAGCACCGGUCCAAGUAAUGACCCUUGUGGGAUACCACUUGUCACCAAUCUCCGUCUGGACAUUGAGCCAUUGGCCACCACUCUCUGGUUACGAUCUCAUGACCAGUUUCUCAUCCAUCAAAGAGUUUACACAUCAAAUCCAUAUAUUUCCAAUUAGGAGAGAAGGAUGUUGUGUGUGACCAUGUCAAAGACCCUACCGAAUCCAGGUAUGUUACACUGGUGGCUCUUCCCUUGUCCACUGACACAGUGAUAUCAUCAUAAAAAGCAACAGGGCUGAUCAGGCAGGACCUGAGCCGGUGAAGCCAUGCUGGUUAUCCCAUAUCACCUCCCUGUUUUCCAUGUACCUUAGCAUAGCUUCCAGGAGGAUUUGCACCAUGCUUUUCCCUGGCACAGAGGCGAGGCUAACAGUCAGCAGCUCUCUGAG
ensembl:lncRNA